GAGUGGGCUCUCACCCUAUAUAAGAACGCAGCUGCAGUGAACCUUGUUCUUUCUGGCAGACCUGAGGUGUGGACGUAUCAUUGGCCUCUCAAGCAAGUUUAUUGCUGACAUUUAACAUGUGCUUGGAUGAUUGGAGGCCAACCUCUUGUAGGCAAGAAAGUCACAGUGAUGGCAGAUCCUCGCGAGGAGCUCAUACUGGGAUACUCAAAAUGGGGGCGCUUUCCUUUUUGUCUGUACUGGGAAGUGCUUCGAUUUUGGGGUGUCCCUGUUUGAGUAGGGCAUCACGAACCAUCCUGCUUCAAGGGAGCCUGCGGGUCUGACUGCAGCUUCAGCUAUGACCUGGAGUUCCCGGGCUUCUCUGCGGGGCACCAGUCUGUAUGCUCCAUUUUAGAUAAUAAAAAUUGGCAUAUUCUGGGGUGGGCAGGAUACGGGGUUCACCUGCAGAUGAACAGGGCAGGAAAAGCUUGAUGGGGUGUCGGGGGAAUCUGGUUGGCCUUAAAGGGAAUUUGGGGUCCUGUUCCUGAAUUUGGUAGGCAGCAUGCAUGUAAGGCUUGAAGUGGGUUUGGCCAGAGCAUGGGCUGGAGUGCUUCCACCCUGCUACACGGACAAUGCCACAGUCUCACUUUUCCUAACUUUUUUUUUUAAUAAAAUGUGAACAACA
rnacentral:lncRNA from 1 species